CAUUAAGAAGCUAAUUCAGCAUUAACCUUUUAAGUUAGAGAUUGGGAGGCCUAAUCUCCCCUUAAUGA
rnacentral:tRNA from 1 species